rnacentral:pre_miRNA from 1 species
UCUUAUGGAUGAGCAAAGCAAGCCGUUUCCUGAAAUGGAAUCCAUUCCUGGUGAAGAUGCUGUGAA